rnacentral:lncRNA from 1 species
AAUGGUAUGGUGGUGACAUCAAGCUGCUUCUUCAUAAUCCAUGUCCCCCAACUCUCCUGAUUGUAAUAUGGUAUUAAACAUGUAAGCUUUGCAAGCAAUGAAAGUCGUGAGGAAAUUGUCAAUAUAAACGCUUAGCACAAUUGGAGUUUGACAAGUACUUCUGUUUCACCAUUCACAGGGGUAGUCAAUCAACCACGACAGCAGAAGUAAUACAGAAGUACUGUGCAUCAGUUUUAUUACUACCUUAGAGGCUUAAUUACAGGUUCUUCCUAAUUGCUCACUAAGCUUCAGCUAAUACUGCUGUUAAAUAUUUGAAUGAACAAUGAUUUUCUUUCAAGUCAAGCAGUUAUAGAGGCUGUAGCUACAGUAUGCAGCAUUGCUGGUGCUUGUAUAUCAUCGUUCUCAUCUUCUUCAUCUUCUAUCUCCCAGAGGAAAUUAGCAUAAGCUGCAUGUAUGUGGCUGUCAA